GUCCACGCUGUAAACGAUGAUGACUAACCGUCGGCGAUAUACAGUCGGUGGCCAAGCGAAAGCGAUAAGUCAUCCACCUGGGGAGUACGACCGCAAGGUUGAAACUCAAAGGAAUUGACGGGGGCCCGCACAAGCGGAGGAACAUGUGGUUUAAUUCGAUGAUACGCGAGGAACCUUACCCGGGCUCGAACGGCAGGGGAAUUAACCAGAGAUGGUUAAAGUCUUCGGACUCCUGUCGAGGUGCUGCAUGGUUGUCGU
rnacentral:rRNA from 1 species